AGCAUGAGAGGGAAGAUCAUGUUUUGGGGCCAUAGUUGACCACCGGUAACUGAAGCCAUGGACAGUGAAACCGCAGACAUGCAGCCACAGAACACCUGGAAUUUCUGCCAGAGUAUUUGCUGCACUACUGUUACGUGAACAUCAUCCUUUAAGUAGAAUCUGACCUUCCUGAAGAAAGAUCCCUGCUCAAUAUGACUGACUUUGCCUGAUACGUUAUGUAAAAUAUGUUGGAUGGAUAAGUAGCGAUAUGAAGAUAAUAAAAUUGACCACAGAAGUAUUAAUAAAUGCAGAAUACACUAGUAGAA